rnacentral:rRNA from 1 species
UACGAAGGUGGCUAGCGUUGUUCGGAUUUACUGGGCGUAAAGCGCGUGUAGGCGGGUCGUUAAGUUGGGGGUGAAAUCCCGGAGCUCAACUCCGGAACUGCCUUCAAAACUGGCGACCUGGACUCAAGCAGAGGCAAGUGGAAUUGCGAGUGUAGAGGUGAAAUUCGUAGAUAUUCGCAGGAACACCAGUGGCGAAGGCGACUUGCUGGGCUUGUAGUGACGCUGAGGUGCGAAAGCGUGGGGAGCAAACAGG